GACGAACGCUGGCGGCGUGCUUAACACAUGCAAGUCGAACGGAAAGGCCCUGCUUUUGUGGGGUGCUCGAGUGGCGAACGGGUGAGUAACACGUGAGUAACCUGCCCUUGACUUUGGGAUAACUUCAGGAAACUGGGGCUAAUACCGGAUCGGAGCUCCUGCUGCAUGGUGGGGGUUGGAAAGUUUCGGCGGUUGGGGAUGGACUCGCGGCUUAUCAGCUUGUUGGUGGGGUAGUGGCUUACCAAGGCUUUGACGGGUAGCCGGCCUGGGAGGGUGACCGGCCACAUUGGGACUGAGAUACGGCCCAGACUCCUACGGGAGGCAACAGGGGGGAAUAAUGCACAAUGGGCGGAAGCCUGAUGCAGCAACGCCGCGUGCGGGAUGACGGCCUUCGGGUUGUAAACCGCUUUCGCCUGUGACGAAGCGUGAGUGACGGUAAUGGGUAAAGAAGCACCGGCUAAAUACGUG
rnacentral:rRNA from 1 species